rnacentral:rRNA from 1 species
CUAGUUGUUUAACUCAUUGUUAAACAGACCGGUUACUCACUGAAGCUAAGCAGGGCUGAGCCUGGUCAGUACCUGGAUGGGAGACCACAUGGGAAAACUAGGUUGCUGUUGGA